rnacentral:rRNA from 1 species
CCGGAAUCGAACAGUAUAGGAGGUCCAGCCUGCCCAGUGACUAUUAGUUUAACGGCCGCGGUAUUCUGACCGUGCAAAGGUAGCGUAAUCACUCGUCCUUUAAAUGGGGUCAAGUAUGAAAGGCUAGACGAGGGCUUAGCUGUCUCCCCUUCCAGGUCAGUGAAAUUGAUCUAUCCGUGCAAAAACCGGGUAUAAGAAUACAAGACGAGAAGACCCUUUGGAGCUUUAGGUACAGGACUUAACCACGUUAAGCAAGUUAAUAAGAACACUAACCCCACUGGGGAUUAAGACCCUACCUUCGGUUGGGGCGACCACGGAGAAAAACAUAACCUCCGAGUGGACCGGGAAACCCCUAGAGCUAAGAGAUCCAUCUCUAGGCCACAGAAUUUCUGACCAGAAAUGAUCCGGUCAUUUGACCGAUCAACGAACCAAGUUACCCUAGGGAUAACAGCGCAAUCCUCUCCCAGAGCCCAUAUCGACGAGGGGGUUUACGACCUCGAUGUUGGAUCAGGACAUCCUAAUGGUGCAGCAGCUAUUAAAGGUUGUUUUUGUGCUACGAUGAUAAAAAAAAAAAAGAUCUGAGUCUG